GAUGAACGCUGGCGGCGUGCCUAAUACAUGCAAGUCGAGCGAACAGACGAGGAGCUUGCUCCUCUGACGUUAGCGGCGGACGGGUGAGUAACACGUGGAUAACCUACCUAUUAGACUGGGCUUACCUCGGGAAACCGGAUCCAAUCCCGGAUAAUAUAUUGACCCGCACGGUUCAAUAGUGAAAGACGGUUUUGCUGUCACUUAUCGAUGGAUCCGCGCCGCAUUACCUACUUGGUAAGGUAACGGCUUAACAAGGCCACGAUGCGUAGCCGGCCCGAGAGGGUGCACGGGCACCCAAGAACCAAGACCCCGUCCCGACUCCCUGGGGAGGCAGCAGUAGGGAAUCUUCCGCCAUGGGCGAAAGCCUGACCGAGCAACCCCGCGUGAGGGGUGAAGGCCCUCGGAUCGUAAAGCUCUGUUAAUAGGGAAAAAGGAAUGGGUAAGUAACCAGGCACGUUCUGACGGUACCUAAAAAAAAAGCCACGGCUAACCACGUG
rnacentral:rRNA from 1 species